rnacentral:rRNA from 1 species
GAUGAACGCUGGCGGCGUGCCUAAUACAUGCAAGUCGAGCGAACAGACGAGGAGCUUGCUCCUCUGACGUUAGCGGCGGACGGGUGAGUAACACGUGGAUAACCUACCUAUAAGACUGGGAUAAAUUCGGGAAACCGGAGCUAAUACCGGAUAAUAUAUUGAACCGCAUGGUUCAAUAGUGAAAGACGGUUUUGCUGUCACUUAUAGAUGGAUCCGCGCCGCAUUAGCUAGUUGGUAAGGUAACGGCUUACCAAGGCAACGAUGCGUAGCCGACCUGAGAAGGUGAUCGGCCACACUGGAACUGAGACACGGUCCAGACUCCUACGGGAGGCAGCAGUAGGGAAUCUUCCGCAAUGGGCGAAAGCCUGACGGAGCAACGCCGCGUGAGUGAUGAAGGUCUUCGGAUCGUAAAACUCUGUUAUUAGGGAAGAACAAAUGUGUAAGUAACUAUGCACGUCUUGACGGUACCUAAUCAGAAAGCCACGGCUAACUACGUG